ensembl:lncRNA
UGUGGACAAGGAGCCCUCAGAGAGGUGGACAAGGAGCCCUCAGAGAGGUGGACAAGGAGCCCUCAGAGAGGUGGACAAGGAGCCCUCAGAGAGGUGGACAAGGAGCCCUCAGAGAGGUGGACAAGGAGCCCUCAGAGAGGUGGACAAGGAGCCCUCAGAGAGGUGGACAAGGAGCCCCAUCAGAGAGGUGGACAAGGAGCCCUCAGAGAGGUGGACAAGGAGCCCUCAGAGAGGUGGACAAGGAGCCAUCAGAGAGGUGGACAAGGAGCCAUCAGAGAGGUGGACAAGGAGCCCUCAGAGAGGUGGACAAGGAGCCAUCAGAGAGGUGGGCAUGGGCCCAGAGCGAGAGAGAGAUCUGUUUUUGGUGACAUCAACAACAACAAAGAAUCCCACUGCUUGUAUUCUAGCCUGCAGAGUUAUCGAUCCACAUGCCCUGCACCACCAGAUUAAUGAGGAAGGGUCCAUUACACACAAACACAUGACCACACACACACUACAUCACAGAUGAAGAUGCAAUACUUACACAAGAUAG